rnacentral:rRNA from 1 species
GGAUGAUGAGAGCUUGCUCUCUGAUUUUAGCGGCGGACGGGUGAGUAACACGUGGGCAACCUGCCCUACAGAUGGGGAUAACUCCGGGAAACCGGGGCUAAUACCGAAUAAACAGUUCGUCCGCAUGGACGAGCUCUGAAAGGCGGUUUCGGCUGUCACUGUAGGAUGGGCCCGCGGCGCAUUAGCUAGUUGGUGGGGUAAUGGCCUACCAAGGCAACGAUGCGUAGCCGACCUGAGAGGGUGAUCGGCCACACUGGGACUGAGACACGGCCCAGACUCCUACGGGAGGCAGCAGUAGGGAAUCUUCCACAAUGGACGAAAGUCUGAUGGAGCAAUGCCGCGUGAGCGAAGAAGGUUUUCGGAUCGUAAAGCUCUGUUGUAAGGGAAGAACACGUACGGGAGUAACUGCCCGUACCUUGACGGUACCUUAUUAGAAAGCCACGGCUAACUACGUGCCAGCAGCCGCGGUAAUACGUAGGUGGCAAGCGUUGUCCGGAAUUAUUGGGCGUAAAGCGCGCGCAGGCGGUUCUUUAAGUCUGAUGUGAAAGCCCACGGCUCAACCGUGGAGGGUCAUUGGAAACUGGAGAACUUGAGUACAGA